rnacentral:rRNA from 1 species
GAUGAACGCUGGCGGCGUGCUUAACACAUGCAAGUCGAACGGAUUUAAUAGAAAGCUUGCUUUCGGUUAAAUUAGUGGCGGACGGGUGAGUAACGCGUGGAUAACCUGCCGUAUACAGGGGGAUAACACUUAGAAAUAGGUGCUAAUACCGCAUAAGCGCACAGUUUCGCAUGAGACAGUGUGAAAAACUCCGGUGGUAUACGAUGGAUCCGCGUCUGAUUAGGUAGUUGGUGGGGUAACGGCCCACCAAGCCGACGAUCAGUAGCCGGCCUGAGAGGGUGAACGGCCACAUUGGGACUGAGACACGGCCCAAACUCCUACGGGAGGCAGCAGUGGGGGAUAUUGGACAAUGGGGGCAACCCUGAUCCAGCGACGCCGCGUGAGGGAAGAAGGUUUUCGGAUUGUAAACCUCUGUCAACAGGGAAAAUGAUGAUGGUACCUGUGGAGGAAGCCACGGCUAACUACGUG